rnacentral:rRNA from 1 species
AUUGAACGCUGGCGGCAUGCUUUACACAUGCAAGUCGAACGGUAACAGGCCGCAAGGUGCUGACGAGUGGCGAACGGGUGAGUAAUGCAUCGGAACGUGCCCAGUCGUGGGGGAUAACGCAGCGAAAGCUGUGCUAAUACCGCAUACGAUCUAUGGAUGAAAGCGGGGGACCGUAAGGCCUCGCGCGAUUGGAGCGGCCGAUGUCAGAUUAGCUAGUUGGUGGGGUAAAGGCCCACCAAGGCGACGAUCUGUAGCUGGUCUGAGAGGACGACCAGCCACACUGGGACUGAGACACGGCCCAGACUCUGACGGGAGGCAGCAGUGGGGAAUUUUGGACAAUGGGCGCAAGCCUGAUCCAGCAAUGCCGCGUGCAGGAAGAAGGCCUUCGGGUUGUAAACUGCUUUUGUUCGGAACGAAACGGUCUGGGUUAAUACCCUGGGCUAAUGACGGUACCGUAAGAAUAAGCACCGGCUAACUACGUGCCAGCAGCCGCCGUAA